rnacentral:rRNA from 1 species
AUAUGUUACAUAGAAGUAUUCGUUAGCGGCGGACGGGUGAGUAACACGUAGGGUAACCUGCCUCAAGUGGGGGAUAGCCUUACGAAAGGAAGAUUAAUACCGCAUAAGCCUACAGUGCCGCAUGGUACAGUAGGAAAAGGAGUAAUCCGCUUUGAGAUGGACCCGCGGCGCAUUAGCUAGUUGGUGAGGUAACGGCUCACCAAGGCGACGAUGCGUAGCCGACCUGAGAGGGUGAUCGGCCACAUUGGAACUGAGACACGGUCCAGACUCCUACGGGAGGCAGCAGUGGGGAAUAUUGCACAAUGGGCGAAAGCCUGAUGCAAGCAACGCCGCGUGAGUGAUGAAGGCCUUCGGGUCGUAAAGCUCUUUGAUCAGGGAUGAUAAUGACAGUACCUGAAAAACAAGCCACGGCUAACUACGUGCCAGCCGCCGC